rnacentral:lncRNA from 1 species
GCAGUAGCAGGACCGCUGCUGUGGAGCUGGUCGCAGGCGGUGUGUGCCGGUCGCCUAGUCAGGAGAACUAGUCCUCGACUCACGGUAGGGAGUGAGGCCAGUAGGACCGGCGCGCCUCCGGGGGGAUUCCUCCCGGGCGUUGAGUUGCCAACCUGGGACCCGAGGAAGAUCGGCGUGGUGGUGUGCUUUUUGUUGUUGUUAACCCU